GGCCUGUGCGAGCAUAGUUUUCUUAAAAUAGAUUCGCCCCCUCACCGUAAAUGCUUAAGGUCUAAUCCGAGCGUCUGUUUCUCAGGAUACAAUGGUAAAACCCGUAGAAUCUGAGCACCACAAAAACUACUUCGGCGAACUGAGUUUGUAUUCGAACAAUAUCACCACCACGACUAAAGAAGGAAACUGAGAUUAUGUAUAUGCAGACAGAACAAAAGUAUUUUCUGGUGCGAGACAGAAGGAUUUUUUUCGUGCGUAUAAAUUGCUGGAAAAUUGAGAUUUAAUAUAAUAUAAAUCUGUCCAAUAGCUCCAUGGCAAUAAACACUGGAGCCACUUCAGUUUCUGCUGGAGUUUUGACAAUUUUUGGAAACUCAAAGAUCAGUUGAAGAAAGCAAAAAAUUGCAAAACGUGGAAACUCCAAAUGGGCCAAUUUUUGCUCCGUUCGGUCCGAUAUUCGUGUACGCAGGUCACGCCCGCACAUAAGUUCAAGGUCCAAAGGUAAUUUCGGUCCGUGAUUUGCACCCCCUGCGCGCGCACGUAGAGAAAGCCUCCAUGCUACACAUGAUUACAUAUUUCCAAUGUAUAGCCAUAUUUAAAGUGGUUCUUACUUUCAUAUUUUCCCUAUGUGGGACUAAACUCAUUUUUCCCACAUAAAUCAUCUUUCAAUGAUCAUCUUUGAGCUUCAAUUUCUCAUUCACCCAAACUUCAUUUUUUACAAAUAAAUAUAUGAUUUUGAUGUUCUCACGGAGGAGAACACAGAUCAACUUUGAUCUUCC
rnacentral:lncRNA from 1 species